AUCAGAAAGGGAAAGAAAGGGCACGGGGAGCUUAAGGGGAAAAAACAGAAGGGAAGAAAGAAGGAAACGGAGAGUAGAGGGAGAGGGUGACGGAACAGAGAAGAAGAGGGAGAAGUGGAUUGUCAUCGGGGAGGGAGGAGACUGCCACCGUCGUGAGCCAUCACUGUUCGCUGCCGUUGAGUACACGGACCAGAGGGAGACGCGAGCAGUGACUGAGAGGAAGCUCCGUCCUCGUCGCCGUUCCAUAGUCGCUGUUGAAGCCAACCUCGUUGUCGUCGAAUCGUUGCUGCUGUGCCGCCAUCAAGUCUGAGUUGAGGAAAGGAGACGUGGAGUCGGUGUCGCCCAGAGAGAAACGCGAAUGGCGAGGCGAAGCAGAACGCAUGGUGGGAAGGCUUUCCUUGCCACUGCCGCCGCCGGAAUCAUGAACCAAGGUGGAGGAGAAGGCCGUCUUCCCCGUUGCUGCUAUAAUCAGCCGUGCUGCUGCCGGUGCUUCCUUGUUCUGUUAUUCCUUUCUAAUUCUUAAUUAUUACUCUACCCAAUAUGAAUUCAUUGUUUUGCUCACUGUCGUGGCCAACUCGCGUUGCUGCUGCCCUGUCAAAGCUGUUGUGAGUGUUGCUAACAUUGGCGGAUAAGGGAUGAAGGAGCUGCUGCAUUUUGGGUGCAGCCCAACCAGUCAUCACGCCACAAUUCCGUAUUCGGUUUCGGUUUCUAUGAAAUUCGACAUUGAGUGACACAGGUUUGAAGACGCAAUUUGAAGCUGCGAGCGAUUAGUAGAUUUUCUUUAUGGUCUUAAUUGCUUUCAUAGAGUCCCCUCGCUAUUGUCCUUUGAGAUUUUAUUUUACAUAGAGGGGUAGGUUUAGUAUAUUGUAUUUGAGUUUUAUUUGGUCUCUUUUGUAUAAGAAUUAUUAUCAAUAAUAUUUAUGUGAUUAUUGUUAUUUGUGAAUGUUUGAAUCAUGUCAUUAAUGAAUAAAAACAAAAUUUUCUGGCA